AACGAACGCUGGCGGCAGGCCUAACACAUGCAAGUCGAACGCCCUAGCAAUAGGGAGUGGCAGACGGGUGAGUAACACGUGGGAACGUGCCCUUCGGUUCGGAAUAACUCAGGGAAACUUGAGCUAAUACCGGAUACGUGCGAGAGCAGAAAAAUUUAUCGCCGAAGGAUCGGCCCGCGUCCGAUUAGCUAGUUGGUGAGGUAAUGGCGCACCAAGGCGACGAUCGGUAGCUGGUCUGAGAGGAUGACCAGCCACACUGGGACUGAGACACGGCCCAGACUCCUACGGGAGGCAGCAGUGGGGAAUAUUGGACAAUGGGCGCAAGCCUGAUCCAGCCAUGCCGCGUGAGUGAUGAAGGCCCUAGGGUUGUAAAGCUCUUUCGCCAGGGACGAUAAUGACGGUACCUGGAUAAGAAGCCCCGGCUAACUUCGUGCCAGCAGCCGCCGUAA
rnacentral:rRNA from 1 species